UUGUCAGAUCUAUCUUUUCUUCAUCUAAUCUACACGCCUCUAUCUCCUUUCUCUUGCUUUUUCCUCUUUUCUCCUAAAUCUCAGGCUUUUUCUCUCUUUGUGUUGAACACCGAUGAUUUGAAGAAAUCCCAUUCGAUUCGCAGCUUAUGAACACUGAUUUGAAGAAAUCCCCACCGAUUUGCAGGUUUGUUCUCGCACGUGGCACUUUCGGCACAGUCACCUCCUCUCAAAUUUCACUUUCGGUUGAACAGCGGCAGUGACAAUUAGGGCGUUAAGAUCUAGGGUUCCGACAAAAACGGAGAUGGUUACCGCUGGAUUUCAUAUAGUAUCUCUUAUGGUUAUCUUUCAUCCUGCUCUCUAUGAACCCUCAUUUAUUUUUUUUCAUUAUGUGUUGAAAGGUUUAAGUAUGAACACCAACUGUUUGACGAAAUGCUUCAACCAGUUUGGGGCUGAAAUGUUUUGUAUUCAGUUUAAUACCUUUUCGUAUUUGUUUUCUUGUUGCUGUUAUUUUGAAGGCUAUGAAAGGAGGGUCAAGAAGGUUGUGUGUUCUUUAGCAGAUUUUGAAUCUUGCACACAGCAAAUCAGACAUUCAUGCCUUUAUUGACAAAUUUGCAGACAACGGGUUAAGGUCACUUGCUAUAGCAUACUACCAGGAAGUUCUAGAGAGACCUAAAGAGACCCCUGGAGGACUAUGGCAGUUUGUUGGGCUAAUAUCUCUAUCAUCCGCCACGUCAUGAUAGUGCUGACACGAUUCAAAGGGGGUUUGAAUCUUGGGUAAACGUUAAAAUGAUUAUAUGAACUUUUGGACUAGAGGAGAUGUCGAUGAACAACCAAAACGUUUAACAAAUUUUACAUGUUCAGAAAUAAUGGAAACGCUAGCCUCGGCCAGUGGUGGAUUUUCUUAUCAACAACCAAAAUGUGAAAGAUCCUUACUCAAUUGACUGGGCUAAGGCAAAGCGGACCCUAAAAAACCUUAGGGUGAAGGCCAGCCUGACUAAUAUAGAGUACAAGAUUACUGAUCUGAGUGAGAAGCCCUGUAACGAACAACUCCGCAUCAUGCGAUAACUGGCCAGGGAAUUGUUUUUUCGGCCAACAAAGCCAUACCGGUGACCACGACCAAACCGAUGAGAUUGAAAAGUGAACGAUGCCAGCCGAGACAUUCAACCUCAUGGUGCAACAAGACAGAUUUUCCCAGGUACUCUACAUUGUUUCAGUAGAGCAUAAAAGAUUAGAAUUGAGAAGAACGUAAAUAUCUUUCAAUUUUUAUAUUUAUUAUCUUUAUAGUUCACAUCAUAAAAAAAGUUUGGUUUGCUAUAUAUCACCAUGUUCAUGUGCUGAGUGGUGUGUGGGGUAUGCCAACGAACAUCGUUUUUCCGGUCACAAGAAUGAAAAAAGAGGGAAGGGUUCGAUCGUUGUGCGGUAAAGAAAUUGUGACGGCGUUCCAUGGUGAUAGACAUUUUUGAAGACUUGGUUAUUGCUACUCAUGAUAUUUAUCAAAUUGCACUGGGGCUGAUGCAGAGUUUGUAAUGUUAGUAAUUGAUGACUUAUGGGAUUACAUUAAGGGCUCGGAUGCAGUUAACUUCGUCAGAAACCAACUUAGGGAACAAGGAGAAGUUCAGUCAAUAGGAGAUAACCUGAAUGGCAUGCUACUUCUAGCCAAUGAAGGGUUUGAUAAAGAAAAUGGAGGCCUGGAGGGUACCCAAGUUAAUACGAGGAUGUUGAGGUGGAAAAAUCGGCACAUGAACCUUCACCGAAAUAAACGCCAAAAAGCCCCCACAAAACUUCAAAGCUCAUGUAAAUCGUGUGAUGUUAUGUGCCUUUUGUCUUUGAUUUAGAUUUGUACAUUAAGGUGAUAAGGUCUUUUAGAUGUGUAACAUAUUAUAUAUUAAAGGGUUAAUUGCAUAAUCUGAUAUUUUGGGCAACAUUUUUUUUAUGCCGGAUCAUGUGAAAUUCAGUUAGGUUUUAGAGA